rnacentral:rRNA from 1 species
GAGCGCGAUCAUAGUAGAACUAAUGCACCGAAUCCCAUCUGAACUCCGCAGUUGAGCCUGCUUGGGCGAGAGUAGUACUAGGAUGGGUGACCUCCAGGGAAUUCCUCGUGUUCUACCCC